rnacentral:rRNA from 1 species
GCUUACGGCCACACAGCCUGGUUCACUCCUGAUCCCGUUUGAUCUCGGAAGCUAAGAUAGGUUGGCCCUGGUUAGUACUUGGAUGGGAGACCGCCUGGGAAUACCAGGUGCUGUAAGCU